CCUCGCUUUUCUGUACCGUAGGGAGGUACAGGAACAAGAGCUGGGCAAGACCGGUGCCAGCCGCCGCGGUAAUACCGGCAGCUCGAGUGAUGGCCGCUGUUAUUGGGCCUAAAGCGUCCGUAGCUGGCCACGCAAGUCCGUCGGGAAAUCCAUCGGCUCAACCGGUGGGCGUCCGGCGGAAACUGCGUGGCUUGGGACCGGAAGGCUCGAGGGGUACGUCCGGGGUAGGAGUGAAAUCCCGUAAUCCUGGACGGACCACCGAUGGCGAAAGCACCUCGAGAAGACGGAUCCGACAGUGAGGGACGAAAGCUGGGGUCUCGAACCGGAUUAGAUACCCGGGUAGUCCCAGCCGUAAACGAUGCCAGUUAGGUGUGGCAGAGGCUACGAGCCUGUGCUGUGCCGUAGGGAAGCCGAGAAACUGGCCGCCUGG
rnacentral:rRNA from 1 species